GCACUUUAUAUUAUUGGGUCUUAAAGACACAGCGCACCUUAUUAUUUUUAAGUAUAAACAAUCCUGAGUACCUGGACCUAAUUUAUUUUAUCCACUAAACUGGGUUUGGCCAACCUCAGCCCUGAUAAGCACCUGGAUUCCUAAGUGUGAGUGUGGUAUCCUCAGUUUGUGAAUUACUACAGUUCUCCUAGCAGUCCAUCUAACACAUCUCAGCUCCUGAAAAAGACUUCACCCAAUUAUGGAUUUACAAAGUCCGAGAAUAAGACGAGCCCUGUGUAUGUCUGUAUCCCUAUUGAUGCUGUGUCCUUGAUGAGGUCAAUCUGAGAACUGUGAACCUGACAUGAGCUUUUAGAAGAAAAUAGUAAAAGUGUGGCAUUGAAGAUUUGAGGAUUUGUUCCCACUGAGAAAAUCUGUCAAACCCUGUGAGAGUGUCUGACCUGUUCUCUAACACUUUACAUCAGAUGGGUGCGUGAAAGUAUUAAACUCUCACAAAUCCUGCACUUUCGUCUUCUGUUACGUGAAGGGCAGACCGUUCGUAUAUCAGAUCUAUGCAUUUAGCAGUGUGAAAUUAGCUUUCAGUAAAUGUGAUAUGUGUGAAUAUACAUAUUGCUUUCAUUUUGUAUGAGGGAGCAAAGAUUAGAGGCCAAG